UACGUAGGGUGCAAGCGUUGUCCGGAAUUAUUGGGCGUAAAGAGCUUGUAGGCGGUCUGUCGCGUCUGCUGUGAAAAUCCGGGGCUCAACCCCGGACUUGCAGUGGGUACGGGCAGACUAGAGUGUGGUAGGGGAGACUGGAAUUCCUGAUGUAGCGGUGAAAUGCGCAGAUAUCAGGAGGAACACCGAUGGCGAAGGCAGGUCUCUGGGCCACUACUGACGCUGAGAAGCGAAAGCAUGGGGAGCGAACAGG
rnacentral:rRNA from 1 species